GGUUAAUUAAAAAUUAUAAUUUAAAUAAAUUAAUCUCGAAUUUAAAUGAUUUAAUUAAAAAUUUUAAGUUAAUGUUAAAUUAUUAUUAUUAAUUUUUAAUUAGGAGUGAAAUAUUAAGCGAUUUUAAAUAUAUCUAGUUUUUUUAGAAUUGAAUUAAAUUCAGCUUUAAAAUUUAUUUAAUUUUUGUUUAUUAGUUUAAAUGAAAAUUUUAUUUUAAUGUAAAUAUAUUCGGGAUAAAUUGAUUAUAAUUUUAUAAAUAAAUUUAUUUUUUUUUAAUAGUAAUAAUAAAAUUAUAUUUCUUUUUAAAAAAUGUUUUAAUUUAUAUAUAAUUAAAUUUAUAAUUUAAAUUAAUUUUAAUAAUUUAUAAAAAUUUAUUAUUAAAUAUAAUUUUUAUUAGAAAUAAUGAUUAAAUUAGUAAAAUUGAAUGUAAUAAUAAUUAAAAAAUUUUAAUUUAAAUUUAAGGAAUUAGGCAAAAUUUUUAUUAUUUUAAAAAUUAAAUAUGUAUUUACCUGUUUAUCAAAAACAUGUCUUAUUGAUUAAAAAAUAAUAAGUCUAUUCUGCCCAUUGAAAAUAAAUUUAAAAGGCUGCAGUAUUUUAACUGUACAAAGGUAGCAAAAUCAAUAGUUUUUUAAUUGAAAACUUGAAUGAAAGAAUUAAUAAAAUAUAUUCUGUCUCAAAUUUAAUUUUAAUAUUUAAUUUAAAUAAAAAGUAAAAAUGCUUUUAUAAAUUUAUUAGACGAUAAGACCCUAAGAAUUUGAGAUUAUAAAUUUUUUAAUUUAAUUUUAUAAAUAAUAAUUAAUUUAUUUAUAUUUUUUUAUUGGGAGGGUAAUUAAAUUAAUAAACUUUAAUUAAUAAAUAACAUGGAUAAAUGAAUUUUAAUGAUAAUAUUAAUAAUUAUAAGAAAAAAUUACCUUAG
rnacentral:rRNA from 1 species